UACGUAGGGGGCUAGCGUUGUCCGGAAUCAUUGGGCGUAAAGAGCGUGUAGGCGGUCCGGUAAGUCCGCUGUGAAAGUCGGGGGCUCAACCCUCGAAUGCCGGUGGAUACUGUCGGGCUAGAGUGCGGAAGAGGCGAGUGGAAUUCCUGGUGUAGCGGUGAAAUGCGCAGAUAUCAGGAGGAACACCAAUUGCGAAGGCAGCUCGCUGGGACGUUACUGACGCUGAAGCACGACAGCGUGGGGAGCAAACGGG
rnacentral:rRNA from 1 species